UGAGGAAUAUUGGUCAAUGGGCGAGAGCCUGAACCAGCCAAGUAGCGUGAGGGAAUAAGGCCCUACGGGUCGUAAACCUCUUUUGCCGGGGAGCAAGGGCGGGGACGUGUCCCGGCCCGGAGAGUACCCGGAGAAAAAGCAUCGGCUAACUCCGUGCC
rnacentral:rRNA from 1 species